GAUGAACGCUGGCGGCGUGCCUAAUACAUGCAAGUCGAGCGAACAGACGAGGAGCUUGCUCCUCUGACGUUAGCGGCGGACGGGUGAGUAACACGUGGAUAACCUACCUAUAAGACUGGGAUAACUUCGGGAAACCGGAGCUAAUACCGGAUAAUAUAUUGAACCGCAUGGUUCAAUAGUUAAAGACGGUUUUGCUGUCACUUAUAGAGUGAUCAGCGCCGCAUUAGCUAGUUGGUGAGGUAACUGCUUACCAAGGCGUCGAUGCGUAGCCGACCUGAGAGGGUGAGUGGCCACACUGGAACUGUGACACGUACCAAUAUCCAUAGUGAGGGAGCAGUAGGUAAUCUUACGCAAUCGGCGAAAGCCUGCUGGAGCGACCCUGCCCGUGAGAAGACCGUCCCCGGAUUUGAAUACUCUGCUAUGGGGGAAGCACAAAUGUGUCUUUUUGUAUGCACGUUGUGACGGUACCCAUUCAGAAAGUCACGUCAAACUCCUGG
rnacentral:rRNA from 1 species